UUUUACUUUUAUAUGUUUAAAUUUCCAUCAUUAUAACAAAAUCGAUUUUUCACAGUAAUGAUUCUCAGUGUGGAGUCAUUUGAUUAUUAAGACCCAUUGACAUGAGAUUACAUCCUCUGCCUAUAAAAAUCCUGGAAGAAAACCUAGGAAAUAUUCAUCUGGACAUUGCACUUGGCAAUGAAUUUAUGGCAUGAGAAACUCUCAAGGGAUUGAGCAGACAGCCUACAGAAUGGAAGAAAAUAUUCACACACUAUGCAUACAGCAAAGGCCUAUUAUCCAGAAGCCAUAAGAGACUUAUGCAAAUCAACGAGCAAAAAAUAAAUAACCCCAUUAAAAAAUGGGCAAAGAACAUAAACAGACAGUUUUCAGAA
rnacentral:lncRNA from 10 species